CAAGGCUCCAUCAGGGCUCUUUCGCGGGGUGUUGGCACACAGGUGAUCUGUGUCUGUCUGGAGGAUGAUGAUGAUUCCAGCACCAGUACGAGCCUGGGCUCACCAUUGGAUGAUUUGGGACAGGAUUUUCCUACUCCGGGGCCAUUUCCAGGCCAUUCUCCGGAAAUGAGAGUUCUGAGCUAAGUAGAGGUGACUACCCUAGAUUCUUCCUUUCUUCCCGUUACCAUAGAAUUGUCGCCGGGAAGAGGUUGAUCAGGCAGAGACUACAUUUCCCAGCACCCCUGGCAUCCGGGUUGGGUCACGUGACUCGCUCUGGCCCAUGCACUAUGGGAGGAAGCCGUGUGCAUCACUUCAGGACCCGCACGGUUAACGAGUGCCUGUAUUUACUCAUCCCUUGUUUCCCCAUCUGCCAGCCGAACGGACGGGACGCCAAGCCACAUGCUGAAGAAGAUGAGGGAACUGAGGCUCAAAAACAUUCAACGAACUGCCCAGAGUCAUCAGCGGGGAAGUGCAAGUAGCCAGGUGAGAAGCCGGAGUCCACAUCCGAAACCGCUGUGCUCCCUGGCCUUCCAGAACCCACACAGCCUUCCCGCUCCGUGGACUUGAUCUGGAGGUCAACGGGAACAAGCGAAUGGUGAAGACGGACGGGCGAGAAUACUACUCGUGAUUCGGCUCAGUGUCGUCAAGGCGAAAUAUUGGAAACAUCUAAAAUGUUCAGCGUCAGGGCCCGUGUUAAAUAAACAGGUGCAUAGGUGUAA